GACGAACCGUGCGAACGUUGUUCGGAUUCACUGGGCUUAAAGGGCGCGUAGGCGGCUUGCCAAGUCAGGGGUGAAAUCUUUCGGCUCAACCGGAAAAGUGCUUCUGAUACUGGCGGGCUGGAGGGGGGUAGGGGCAGAUGGAACUUCCGGUGGAGCGGUGAAAUGCGUAGAUAUCGUAAGGAAGAUCAGUGGCGAAGGCGAAUCUCUGGACAGUUACUGACACUGAGGCACGAAGGCCAGGGGAGCAAACGGG
rnacentral:rRNA from 1 species